ensembl:lncRNA
AGCUCGGGGCCACACAGCAGGAAGGGGAGGCACGGGCCAGGCUGCCCACUCCCAGGAAUGAAUGGACUCCCUCGGGCUCGCUGCUCAGCCUGAAUCCUGAUGGAAGCCUGCGUCACUCUGUCCUCCAAGUCCCUCCCCCACUCUGAGUCACCCAAGGACCCCGGAGCGCCAGCCACACAGAGACUCUUCCUGCUGUCCAAGCUAUCCACCAACUGGCUGCAGAGUUCACUGCGCCAGCGCAUCCCACUUCAACGACUCCUUGCAUCCCUAAGAAGGUCCAUUUGGGACAGAGAAAAUUGGAGAAAUGAUGGAGACAGUGGCCAUCCCUGUAUACACACAGGCAGGGGGUGUGGGAGUGCUUAAGAAGGAAGGGGUCACUUCCCUUUGAGGCUCGGCCUGGGGCUGCCUGCACCCUGCCAGCACCCCCACCUCUUCGUUAAGAGACCUCCAUUUCCCCCACACGUGGGACGUUCAGGGCAAGCUGCCACUGUGGGCCAAACCACGUGCCCCUGGGGCCCAGUGUCCCACCAGAGUGGCUGCUUAGUAGUCAUGUGGCUGGGUCUGGCCGGUGAGAGAUGCCAAGUGUCCUUGGUAGAGGAGAAGCUGGAGGACUCCCCCAUCUCUGCCUCUGGAUGGUGCUGUGAUGCGCAGAAGGCGGCAGCCACUUUGUUCCCAGCUCCAGUGAAGCCAACUCCUUGGCAGAUAGCACAGACGCAAAGGGACAUGCGUGCUGGAGAAAGGAGUAUACAGUGAUUCUCAAGGGCCUCGAACUAUGCACAGAGGAGAGUCCUGGCCGCUCCGUCACCUUCUGAACACCCGAUGCAGAGAACAGAUGCGUUCACUUCCUUCCCUAAGAGGCUUGUGGUUUGUGGCACUCUCGUGCCGGAGGUCCCCCCAGCUCCUGCAUGGGGAAGGCUCUGUGGGGACCUCGCCUGCCCCACAGGAAGCGCACCCCCCCACGAUCUGCUCCGACUCUGCCCACGGAUGGGGGUUUCUGGAGAGAGGCUCACAGGGACGCUUCAUUUCACCAGGGCUGCGGGCAUGGCCAGAAGAGACCCCCAAUGGGGCAGCACGGGGCCGAGGUGGGGGGCAAGCCUGCCGGCAUCUCCUUCCCGGGGGUCCACUCGUCAGAGCCUGGAUGUCUCCCCAUUCCAGUGAGGGGGUGCACCCCAGCCACACCCCCCACGGACCUCCCAGGCAGUGCCCCCUCCUGUGAAUCACAAAACGAUGUGAUUACACACAGGGGCCCCCAUAGGCAAGGCCCAUGGAGGCCAACAUUUACCUCUCUAAUCCCUGCAUCACGCCGGCCAACCAGGUGGACCCAACAGGUGAGACAACAGGCCUGGAGGGGCGGAUGGAGGAGGAGUGGAAACAUGGUGCGUCCUGUGCGAGGCUGUGUGUGCUCUGUGUUGGGACCUGGACAACGAAGGGGAGUCUGAGGAAGGGAGGGAGGAGCAAGUUACUUUACAGAGCUUGCUUCAGACACAUGGUGUGAGGGCAUCUUAACAGCAGGGGAAGAUGCCUGCGUCCUGCGUGUGGGGAACGAGAGCCAACAGCCCGGGCGAGGGUCCCAGCAGGUGCGGACAGGAGGGUAUGUGUCCUUCCAAGACCCUUGCAGUGGGGGAAGGGACUAAAGCUUCCAUUCAAAGCCUCUAGUUCCCGACACAAGAAAAAACAUCAGGAGUAUAAAUAAACAUGCUCAUUUCUCGCAAGCGCUGCAUUUCGAAAAUACGGGAACAGUCGAGAUGUAUGCUGCAUCAAGUUGUUGAUUUUCUAGAAACGUUUUCCAUACUUUCCAGAAUGCAGCAGGCAAGCUUUAGAGAUUUCACACUCUGAUACUGCUCAAAGAACAUCAGAAAAGACACAUUUCCUCAGAGCCGGUGAUGACGGAGAGGCUGCGGCCACCCCAUCCACUCUCUCUGCUUCAAAGAACACAUUUCCAACCACUUUCUAAGGCGCUCUCGUAACUUGCACCACACGCUCCGCACAGAAAAUGCUCUCUUUCCUUAAACCCCCAGAGCAGGAUGCAACCAAAAAUAGCUCUUUGGGAAGAAAAAGAAAAAGGAACAUUACACAUUGCAGAUCUGUAUUCUCUUCGUGGUGUGAAACGUCUGAACAAGCUAGCUUGCUGGGCAUUUUCGUCAAGUUUCAACACAUCAGCAGAAGCGUGCACCAGCAUCAAGCCAAGGGUUCAAGAAACAUUUUGUGAAACACAACAAAACAAAACUCAAAAAGGUGCCACUGCUUUUAAAAAGUCCAAUACUCACUCAGUGAAUAAGUGUGCGGCGUGAGGAUGCAAGACAGCGUGUGCACGCCGCCGUGCAGGACCCGUGGCACGUACGGCCCCGGGAUCAGGGAGCCCGCGAUCCGGCAGUUCCAGCCUCGGGGGCGUGCCCGGCCGCCUCUUUGCUAGCAGUCCCAGGGCUGUACCUACAGGUCCAGUGUCCCGAGAUUUGGAGGAGCAAAGCUGCCAGAGAACAUCUGAAUCAUGUAUAAAGAAUGAAUUUAUAAUAAAUUUAUAAAGAAGCCUCCAGUUACAUAACCUCGAAUUUGCAAAGAACCCGACUUGAGGUUGGCGUGUGAGUCACCCUCACACGUCACCAUGAAGUGAGCGGUUCCUAUCAACCAUGCGUCAUUCGCGGUCGAUGCUACAGACUGAAUGGAGGUGGAAGGCCUCGGUGCCCAAAGCUGUCCACGUGCUCGGGGGCCUCUGCAGGACGUGGUCAUUCACUUGCUCAUGCAGGCAUCCCUGCCCGUCUUGGGGGCGCACCUCCUGGGGAGGCUCUGCCAGCAGUUUGGGGGAGUCGCGAUGGGAGGAGUGUGGCUGGGGAGGCAGCCUGAGGUGACACCGAGUAAGGACCUGAAGAAGCUGAGGGACCAGGGGGGCCUGGCUGCAAGAAAAUGAGCCCAGCAGGUGUGCAGGGCUAUCAGGGAAGCACCCCCAAGUGAGACACAGGGAGGCCCCACCUUGUGCUCCACGGCACCCUGUCCUACCACACAAUGUCCCAGUCUCACAGCCGCCCGCUCGCCUGCUGCCCGCUGACCAGGCAGCGCCGCUCAGACCCAGUCUGCAGGAAGUGCUGGCUGUUCUCUUUCCCAAAAGACUGGGUGCCCGAAGAGGCCAAGUGCUCCUAAAAGGUGCAGACAUGACUUGCCUGAGAAACACAUGCAUGUGCCGUGAUCGCCCCCCAUCGCCCCCGGCUCCCCAGGGACUCACUCUUGCACCCACUCCUGAGCUGCCACGAUGCUCGCCUCAGAGCAACUUUUCACGUUUGCAGUUUUCUCUCUCCCUCCUUCUGGUCACGUGUUUAUGUUUUAUUUCGAGACCAUGUCCAGCGCACAGAAAAGCGCUAAGAACAGCACAAAGUGCACAGAUACACUUUGCCCAGAGAUUCCAAAAACUGUCCCAUAAACACUGUUUCAGCCAGGGUUGUGUCCCUGGGCCCCUUCCACCCCAGGCUCCUUGGUCCUCCUCAACUUCUGCGACCUUGACCCUGAAGAUCAUUGCCAGUUACUUUGCAAACCGCCCCUCAGUUUGGGUUUGUCUGGUGCGCCCUCAUGGUUAGACCAAGGUCUAUCCCUCCUCAGCAGGAACGUCACCCAGGAGGAAACGUGUCCUUCUCUGCCUCCUGGUGCGUGGCACACGACGCCAACGUACUCCACUGUUGGUGGGGUCGGAGUUGGUCGUCCGCGACAGUAGUUUCCAUUCUAAGUUUUCCCUAAGGCAUAAAUGCAUACUUUGCUGGGAGGUAGUUUUAAGACUACAAUAAUCCCACUUCUGACCCCACUUUCACACACUGAUUUUAGCGUGGACAUUUCUUCCUGAGGUAUUACUACAGUGGUUAGUGAUCACUGACUUUAUAACUCAUCUGUCUCCAGUCACCUACCCACAGCGCUUCCUCCUGUCUGUAUCAGCAGUCUGCCUUAAGGAGAGCUAUCUCCUAUCAUUCAUUCAUUCAUUCAUUCGUCCGUAUCAGUGUGGGCUUAUGGAAUCCUAUUUUAUUCACUGGGUUAUGAUCUAUUACCCUCUUGUUUUGUUUUAAUGCUGAAAUGGUCCAGGCUCGGCCAGUGGGAGCCCUUUUGGGAUGGCUGUGUCCUGUGGCAUGUCUCUAACCCUCUCUGAGCGCUGCCUCCCUUUCUGGCCCAAGAUGCUCUAAGCUGACCUAUGCUCUCCCUGCUCCAACUCUGGAAGGAGGCCUGAGUUCCUUUUGAUGGUGAACAGUGUCUAGAAACCAAGAUCUGAAUGUGAGCUGUGCUCGCAGCUACCUCGGACCUUGCCAGUGGGCAGAGCAAACACAUAUACGUAUAUUUACGUCUACAGCUAUCUUUAUAUUUUGAAAACCAUGAGCUCACACCAGCACCUCCAAUUCCAGUUCAACACCACAGGAGUCAGUAAAGAGUAGAAUGAUUUUCCCUUUAAUAUCUGGUAGAAAUUGCUUUAAAUCAUCUGGGCCUAGAUUUUAACUACUGAUUCAACUUUUUAAAAAGAGUUUGUUUAUUUAUUUAUUUAUUUAUUUACUUAUUUACUUAUUUAUUUAUGAGAGAGAGAAUGCAAGCAGAGGGCGGGGAGCAGAAGGGGAGGAAGAAAUGGGGGAAAGAAUCCAAACAGACUCUGUGCUGAGCAUGGAGCCUAACACAGGGCUCCAUCUCACGACCGUGAGAUCAUGACCUGAGCCAAAACCAAGAGUCAGACGCUUAACCGACUGAGUCACCCAGGUGCUCCUGAUUGAACUUCUUUAAUAGUAAUAUGACUAUUUGAGGUUUCUAUUUCUUCUUGAGUCAAUUUUAACGAGCUAAAUUUUCAGUAAUGUA